rnacentral:lncRNA from 10 species
AGAAUGGUUAGGCAUAUCUUCUAGCUUAAUAAUUCCAUCUUGUAUUGUUUGUUCUUCAACUUAUUCUUUGUGUGGAAAUUUUAAAUUAUUUCAAUAAUCAUGCUUUUAAUUUCUGAGAACUCUAAUUACAUCCUUCCUUGUGCUAAUUAUUGCUCAUUUUCUAUCAUUUCAUCCUUGUCUUCUUUCAACAGAAUAUUGGACGGCAAUUUGCUCCGUUAAAAAUAUAUACUUAUUUUUCAGCGUUUUUCGUAGCUAUGGCCAGUUGUGUUUUGGUAAAUAUUUAACAACUGGUUCUCAUUUUUUUUUUCUUGACUGGAAUGUGAGUAUGAAACUGGAGUUAGGGACUGGGCGCGGUGACUCACGCCUGUAAUCCCAGCUCUUCGGGAGGCCGAGGAGGGUGGAUCCCUUGAGGUAAGGAAUUAGAGACCAGCCUGGCCAACAUGGUGAAAUCCUGUCUCUACUAAAAAUACAAAAAUUAGCUGGGUGUGGUGGUGUGAGCCUGUAGUCCCAGCUAUUUGGGGGGCUGAGGUAGGAGAAUAACUUGAACCCAGGAAGUGGAGGGUGUGGUGAGCCAAGAUUGCACCACUGCACUCCGGCCUGGCAACACAACAAGACUUCAUCUCAAAAAAAAUAAAAAAAGAAAAGAAGAAAGACAGGAAGGAAGGAAGGAAGGAAGGAAGGAAGGAAACGAUUUAGGUCAGCAAUCCUGUGAUGAGGGUUGCCAUUACUGAGGAGAGUAGUGCAGAAGGAUAAAACUAAUAGGAAAUAUUUGAAACAUUGUAGAGUGCUAUGACAUUUAACUCUAAACUUCUUGUUGUGCUACUUCCUUUUAACAACCAAACCAAUUCUCAAACUACUAGCAGUCUUCAAUUUACACUGUAGUGAGGCUAUAAAAAUAAUCAUUAAAUUUGAAACUAUUUAAAGUAAUCUUAGUAAUCAAGGGGGAAAACUAUAAUUAUUCCUUGUUAUAAGCAGGUUCACUGUGCAGUGAUUACCAACAUGCUUGAGGCCAGUGAGACAGAACACACCCAUAUGCAAUGCAUUACGUGAAGAGGAUUUACUACUUGCAGGUAGGCAGCAAGGGACUAAAGAAGCCAAUGAUUCGUUGUGAACCAGUCCUCCAGGGUCAAGAAAACUACCCAGGGUAGCAUUGUUUCAGCUGCACAAGCCUUACUUGCACUGCAGCUGAGGGACCCUGAAAAACAGUCCAUCCUGGGUUAUAUACCUCGGAGUCCACAUGACUCACUGUGAAAAGCUUUGAAGGACAUCCUUCUUCCAAGAGAGAGAUGAAUAAAGCCCGGGCUGUCCUGGGCAGGUCCUGUCUAACUCAUGAUAUUACAUAUCCUUGAAGGGACAGGAACAAGGUUUAUGCUGUUUUAGACAGUUUCUCCCUAUCUCAGGAUAUUGCACCCACAGAACAUUUUAUAUUUAAUCUCUGGAACUACAAACAAGAAAGGGGGAAGAACUAGUUUGGUCCAAGGCCAUCUGGAGAGCCAUCCUGCACCAUGAUCUCUAGAAAUUUUUGUCAAAAUAUUAAAAAUUUCCUUAAUGUCAGUUACAAAUAUAUAGAAAAAUUAAAAAAGAACAUAUAUAUAUUUAACACAUUUUAAUUUAAAACAUUAAAACAUUGAGAAUUAAAGUGUUUCAUUUCUUUGUAAAAAACUUAAGAGAGUAGUUUGAGCAGUGUUCAUCUUCUUGUCAUGUAAGUUAAGAUAGAGUGAGCAUCUUUUCUAUGUCUUUGUGAAUUGUUAUAUUUUUUAUUUUUAAUUAAUUAUUGUUCUAAUUGACAAUUAAGAGUUGUAUAUAUUUACAGAGUACAAAAAUGUUUUGAUAUAUAUGUACAUUGUAGAGUGGCUUAAUCAAGCUAAGUGACAUAUGCAUUACCUAAUUUUUUUUGUGGCAAGAACAUUUAAAAUCUACUCUUGGCAAUUUUCAAGUAUAAAAUACAUUGUUAUUAACUACAGUCACCAUGUUGUACAGUAGCUCCUCUGCACCACUCCUUCUGUCUAACUGAAAUAUUGUAUCCUUUGACGCAUGUUUCCUCAUUCCCUCCACCUCCCCCAAUCACUGGAAACCACUUUUCUAUUCCCAGUUUCUGUGAGUUCAACUUUUUUAGAUUCCAUGUUUACGUUACACAAUUUGGUAUUUGUCUUCCUGUGCCUGGCUUAUUUCACUUUAUAUAGUGUUCUCCAGGUUCAUCUACAUUGUCACAAGUGAAAAUAUUUCUUUAUUUUUUAAGGCUGAAUAAUAUAUAGAAUUAAAUACUAUUCAGCCUUAAAAACUAAAAAAAGAAAAGUUUAAAAUCUCUCUCUCUCUCUCUCUCUCUCUCUCACACACACACACACACACACACACACAUUUUCUUCAACCAUUGAUGGACACAUAGGUUGACUCUAUAUCAGCUAUCAAGAGUAAUGCUGCAAUGAACAUGGAAGUACAGACAUUGUUUCAACAUAUUGAUUCAUUUCCUAUAUAUACCCAGUAGUGAGAUUGCUGGAGCAUAUGAUAGUUCUAUUUUAGGUUUUUUGAGGAACAUCCAUGUUAUUUUCCAUUGUAUCUGUAUUGAUUUACAUCCCCACCAACAGUGUACAACAGUUCCCCUUUCUCCAUAUUCUCACCAGCACUUAUCUCUUGUCUUUUUGAUAAUAGCUAUUCAACAGGGUGAGGUAAUAUCUCAUUGUGGUUUUAAUUAGCAUUUCCCUGAAAAUUAGUGAUGUUGAGCAUCACACUCAGCUUCUAUGAGUUCAUCUUUUUUUAGAUUCCACACUUAAGUUAGAUAAUUUGAUAUUUGUCUUUAUGUGCUUGGCUUAUUUGUGUUUUUCUUCUUGUAUUUUUGAUCCUGCAUUGUUAGAUUGCUGUACUCCUAUCUAAGUUUGAAUCAGCUUCCAAUAUUUUAUUCUCUACACUUCAAUGUUUUGGAAUAUUCCUGAGAAUUCCUUUAAUAUGAUGUUUCUUGCUGGGACAUCUUUAUCUUUUUCAUCACAACAUUUCCUUCCUUAAUGCAAUAAAUUUUAUGUUCUUUUUUGAUUUAUAAAAUUAUGUUUAAGUUUAGUUAAUUGAUAAUGUAAUUUUCCUCCGUAACCUUAAUUAUCAUUCUUCUACCAGGAUUAAUGAUCCUAAUUAUAAUAAGAAUUUGGGUGGAGACUUGUACUCUGGUGGGUCUUUCCUUUCAAACACUAUGGGAACACCUAAAUGUGAGGGCUUCUUAUUUGUCACAACAUCUGAAGUUAGCCAAAGAACUCCCAUCCCUCUAGUUGCAAAGUCUACUAUUUAACCCUAUCAAGAAAUAUGCUCCACAUUAUUUCAAGAGUUGAUUUUAUGAUGUUCCCUGGACACAAACAUCACAACAAUGCACGUGGAUUACUCAACUUAUCAGGUAUGAAUGACAUUGCUGACUACUUCUUUUCUUAUUCUCAUUCUAUUUUGCAGGGACCUUGGGUCCCAGUUUCCUAAGGUAAUUGCAUUUUAUUUAGAAUUUCUCCCAUUUUCCUGAUGAAACUGCAUGUUGUUUGGUACUCUAAGGUUCUCUUAGUAAUCUGAUGCAAUUUUAUUUAUAUUUUCAGAUGAUUCCUCAGUGUUGCUCAGUGGAUUUUUCCUUCUUAUGAUUGUUUUUCUAUUCAUAUUUUUUCUGUUUGUAAUCACUUUUUGGUAGAGAAGAGGAACAUGUUUUGCCUAUAUUGAACUGGAACCAGAUGAACUUUAAAAUUAGGUCUAUUUGAUGAAUUUCAUAUUGGCAAAUAAUUUGAUUAAAUUUCCAUCCUGAACUUUUCGAAGAAGAAGCUCUGCUUUAUGAAACUGGCUUCAUGCACAUUCCUUCUUCAUGGAAUUUUAGGGUCUUCAGAAAAAUUGUUGCUGUUUCCCUCAUUCCUCCAGGAUUUGUCCAUAUUGUUGGAGAGAACAGUGUUCACUUUAUAUGAAAAGAAGACAAAGAAUUGAGUCAUGGAGCACUCUGACAUUAAACAUAGAAGUCCCAAAGUUUAUAUGGAGAGGCAAAAGACCCACAAUGGCCAACACAAUAUUGAAGAAGAAUAAAGUCAGUGGACUGACACUAUCCAACUUCAAGGCUUACUAUAAAACGACAAUAAUCAAGACAGGGUGGGACUGACGAAAAAACAGACAAAGUUUUCAAUGGAACAGAAAAGAGAGCCCCAAAAUAAAACCUAACAAAACUAGUCAACUAAUCUUUGACAAAGGGGAAAAAGCAAUACAAUAGAGGAAAGAUAGUCUUGUCAGCAAAUGGUGCUGGAACAACUGCACAUCCAAAUGCAAAGCUAUAUAACUCCUAGAAUAU